rnacentral:rRNA from 1 species
AGAGUUUGAUCAUGGCUCAGAACGAACGCUGGCGGCAGGCUUAACACAUGCAAGUCGAACGGUUGUAGCAAUACAGCAGUGGCAGACGGGUGAGUAACACGUGGGAACCUUCCUAGGGGUACGGAACAACUCAGGGAAACUUGAGCUAAUACCGUAUACGUCCGUGAGGAGAAAGAUUUAUCGCCCCUAGACGGGCCCGCGUAGGAUUAGGUAGUUGGUGAGGUAACGGCUCACCAAGCCUACGAUCCUUAGCUGAUCUGAGAGGAUGAUCAGCCACACUGGGACUGAGACACGGCCCAGACUCCUACGGGAGGCAGCAGUGGGGAAUCUUGGACAAUGGGCGCAAGCCUGAUCCAGCCAUGCCGCGUGAGUGAAGAAGGCCUUCGGGUUGUAAAGCUCUUUUACCAGGGACGAUAAUGACGGUACCUGAGAAU